UACGAAGGGGGCUAGCGUUGUUCGGAAUUACUGGGCGUAAAGCGCACGUAGGCGGACUAUUAAGUCAGGGGUGAAAUCCCGGGGCUCAACCCCGGAACUGCCUUUGAUACUGGUAGUCUCGAGUCCGGAAGAGGUGAGUGGAAUUCCGAGUGUAGAGGUGAAAUUCGUAGAUAUUCGGAGGAGCACCAGUGGCGAAGGCGGCUCACUGGUCCGGUACUGACGCUGAGGUGCGAAAGCGUGGGGAGCAAACAGG
rnacentral:rRNA from 1 species